UACGAAGGGUGCAAGCGUUACUCGGAAUUACUGGGCGUAAAGCGUGCGCAGGCGGUUUGCUAAGACCGAUGUGAAAUCCCCGGGCUUAACCUGGGAACUGCAUUGGUGACUGGCAGGCUAGAGUAUGGCAGAGGGGGGUAGAAUUCCACGUGUAGCAGUGAAAUGCGUAGAGAUGUGGAGGAAUACCGAUGGCGAAGGCAGCCCCCUGGGCCAAUACUGACGCUCAUGCACGAAAGCGUGGGGAGCAAACAGG
rnacentral:rRNA from 1 species